UGAAUACGAGACGCUAAGGCGUCGAAGUAGUGUAUGUCAUACUUCCAAGAAAAGCUUGCACUGUCAUAGGUAAAAAAUGCCUGUACCAUAACCGACACAGGUGGGUAGGUAGAGUAUACUAAGGGGCGCGAGAUAACUCUCUCUAAGGAACUCGGCAAAAUAACUCCGUAACUUCGGGAGAAGGAGUGCCUUAUUCGUAAGGUUGCAAUAACAAGAUCCAAGCAACUGUUUAUCAAAAACACAGGUCUCCGCCAAGUCGUAAGACGAUGUAUGGGGGCUGACGCCUGCCCAGUGCCAGAAGGUUAAAGAAGUUGGUUAGCAACUGCGAAGCUAGUAACUGAAGCCCUGGUGAACGGCGGCCGUAACUAUAACGGUCCUAAGGUAGCGAAAUUCCUUGUCGGGUAAGUUCCGACCCGCACGAAAGGCGUAAUGAUUUGGAUACUGUCUCGGAGAGGGGCUCGGUGAAAUAGACUUGUCUGUGAAGAUGCGGACUACCUGCACCAGGACAGAAAGACCCUAUGAAGCUUUACUGUAACCUGAAAUUGAAAUUGGACUUUAUUCGCGCAGUAUAGGUGGGAGGCGUUGAUUAUAAUCUUGCGGGAUUAUUGGAGCCAUCAGUGAGAUACCACUCUUGUAAUGUUAGAUUUCUAACUUUGAAUCAUUAUCUGGUCAAAGAACAGUUUCAGGCGGGCAGUUUGACUGGGGCGGUCGCCUCCUAAAUGGUAACGGAGGCGUACAAAGGUUUCCUCUGAACGGUUAGAAAUCGUAUCUAGAGUGUAAAGGCAUAAGGAAGCUUGACUGUGAGACCUACAAGUCGAGCAGGGACGAAAGUCGGUCUUAGUGAUCUGACGGUACUGAGUGGAAAGGCCGUCACUCAACGGAUAAAAGUUACUCUAAGGAUAACAGGCUGAUCUCCCCCAAGAGUUCACAUCGACGGGGAGGUUUGGCACCUCGAUGUCGGCUCAUCGCAUCCUGGGGCGGUAGUACGUCCCAAGGGUUGGGCUGUUCGCCCAUGAAAGCGGUACGCGAGCUGGGUUCAGAACGUCGUGAGACAGUUCGGUCCAUAUCCGGUGUAGGCGUUAGAAUAUUGAGAGGAGCCUUCUUUAGUACGAGAGGACCGAGAAGGACAUACCUCUGGUGUACCAGUUAUCGUGCCAACGGUAAACGCUGGGUAGCUAUGUAUGGAGUGGAUAACCGCUGAAAGCAUCUAAGUGGGAAGCCCACCUCAAGAUAAGUAUUCUCA
rnacentral:rRNA from 1 species